rnacentral:rRNA from 1 species
CCCUUAGAGUUUGAUCCUGGCUCAGAUUGAACGCUGGCGGCAGGCCUAACACAUGCAAGUCGAGCGGUAACAGAUUGAUAGCUUGCUAUCAAUGCUGACGAGCGGCGGACGGGUGAGUAAUGCCUGGGAAUAUGCCCUGAUGUGGGGGAUAACUAUUGGAAACGAUAGCUAAUACCGCAUAAUCUCUUCGGAGCAAAGAGGGGGACCUUCGGGCCUCUCGCGUCAGGAUUAGCCCAGGUGGGAUUAGCUUGUUGGUGGGGUAAUGGCUCACCAAGGCAACGAUCCCUAGCUGGUCUGAGAGGAUGAUCAGCCACACUGGAACUGAGACACGGUCCAGACUCCUACGGGAGGCAGCAGUGGGGAAUAUUGCACAAUGGGGGAAACCCUGAUGCAGCCAUGCCGCGUGUAUGAAGAAGGCCUUCGGGUUGUAAAGUACUUUCAGUUGUGAGGAAGGCAGUAAAGUUAAAUAGCUUUGCUGUUUGACGUUAGCAACAGAAGAAGCACCGGCUAACUCCGUGCCAGCAGCCCGCGGUAAUACGGAGGGUGCGAGCGUUAAUCAGAAUUACUGGGCGUAAAGCGCAUGCAAGGUGGUUUGUUAAGCAAGAUG